CCGCUCAGAGGUAAACGGGUGGAGUUGAACUGCGAACCCUGAGAAUUCAACUGGUGAGUGUGGUAUGAGCUUGGCAUGAAGGUUGGCUCUGCGGGUCUGCUUAGCUGCAGGUCUUCGCCUUUUGGUGGAGAUGCGCGAUACACUUGUCAAGUGGUGCGCGCUCGUUGAGUUUCUCGGACAUACUUGCCAGUGCACUUUCUCGGGGUGUUCACCACGACCGGCGCCGCUACUUGUCCAAUAUGGUUAAACCGGUCUUGCUUGGUCCCUGUGGCUUUGCUUGAUCGGGAUGGCAGGUAACUCGUUGACUUGUGUGUUGACCUCGGUUGGCAUGCGCUUGGUUUUCGAGUGUAAUCAGCUGACUGUAUUGGUGCUAUGUGGUGCGUCGGAGACGGCGGCUUGUGGUGUGUGCCUGCGUGCCUAUUUGCUGACGGAACCGGGUUUGGUUAUUAUGUUGCCUGUUUUGCAGGCCUGGUGAUGGCUCGGUUUCGCUUGGUGGAUGGGAGCGUGGGUGACACUUAUCAGGGCCUAUAGUCUGUGGUGUUGUGGUAGACUAUCCACCUGACCCGUCUUGAAACACGGACCAAGGAGAGUAACAUGUGCGCGAGUCAUGGGGUGUUACGAAACCCAAAGGCGAAGUGAAAGUAAAGACUUGACUUGUUCGAGUUGAGGUGAGAUCCUGUCGUUUCUCAUGCGCGGUACUUCCAAGCAUUCGAGCGAUGGGCGCAUCACCGGCCCGUCCCAUGGUGUGGUCACUGUCUUCGGAUUGGUGCGUCACCGGGGCGGAGCAUGAGCGCACAUGUUGAGACCCGAAAGAUGGUGAACUAUGCUUGCGCAGGUUGAAGCCAGAGGAAACUCUGGUGGAGGACCGUAGCGAUUCUGACGUGCAAAUCGAUCGUCAAACGUGAGUAUA
rnacentral:rRNA from 1 species